ACAACCCUGCUUGAAAAUAGAACCGGGGAAAUGUUUGAAGCUGAAAAUGACAGGUUAUGAUGAAUGUUUAACUGAAGCAGGAACACUGCGUGUGCACCCACGAUAAACCGCGUCAGUUUAAGCUGCAACAAAAAACUUUCCAGGACUUCCGGCUUGCCACGUCGGAGAGGCUGGUGCAGAAGCGGAGUUCCUGCAAGGGUCAGCAAUGUUGGCGGAAUGGUGGCAGCAAUUGUUGCUGUAUGUGGCCUUGAGGGAAACGGCCAUCUUUUCAAACAUGAAAGGAACCAACUUGAACAGACAAAUCAGAUUACACUCUGGCUACUUGUUCCUGGAUUUCCCAUGGCACGUCACAUUUUUGGCCAAAGAUAUGAUGUCCCAUUGUGGAGGACCUGAAGAGCCACAUUGACUGACGUUGGGGGAUACUGCUGCGGUGUUCCUCUAUUUGUCACUGUCAGCCUCCAGACUAAGGAUAUGAGAAGGCGGCAGAAAGAAUGGGAGCGAUGUGGGGCGGCAGUUGUGCUACCUCUCUCUCUCUCUAUGUGGAUUUGCAUUGUCUUGGGCCUGGAAAGCAGUGGCACGAACAAGACUCGUCAAGUCUCAUAUCAAUAUGGUGACCCUCCGUCCUUUGCUGCUGUUUCACCACUCCAGCAAACACGGCCAAGCCUGCCAGUUAUCUUCAAGACACUGUUUGGAGAGGCAUCUCUAUCAGAAUAGUGAGGAAACAUCCAAUGCAUAUCAAUUGAAAGACUUUGAUUUUUAUUUGCUCUGCAUUUGCUCUGUCUUGGUAUAGCAAACGGAAAUGACAUAAGGUCCACUGUAUAAACUGUCAAACCACUUGAAUCUUGUUAGACUUUAGAGGGGAAAUUCAGUCUAUAAAUAUGGAUUAUGAAAGGCAUUUUCUUCUUUUUACCUAGAGUACUUCCCAUC